UCUAUCUUGUGCUCAAAAUGAUCUGAGGAUUCCCUCAGAGAAAAUUCGUACCUUGGAGAAUUCUCAUGCCUCUCUUGAAGCUUCAUUGGAUUCCCACCUAAUUGAGCACCAAAUAGCAAAAAAUGAUAUUGCUAUGUGGGAAAAAGAAUGCAAGGCUUUGGAGAAAGAAUACAAUGCCCUUGAAGAGAAUUUUAACAUAGAAGUGAGUUGGGAUUUUCUGAAUUCUCGCCGUGAUGUCUUGAUGGAG
rnacentral:lncRNA from 1 species